GAAGCAGAACUUCAGUGUCGAUACUCAAUACACAGAUUGUAACAGCUAUUAUCUACAGUUCAUUGUGGGAGACCCUCAAUGUGUCGUCAACAUUAAAUCUACAAUUAAUACAUGAAAGGAUUUUGAAGGUGUUCAAUGCUGAAAAUCAAAGUACUUCUGGUAUUUGUGCGUGCUGAUUGGUAAAGUUUCAUGAAGAGGAGUCUGGCAGAGACGAUGGCACUUUCUCAUCUAAGCUGAUCUAUAGCUAUGUAAGAAAUGAUGAAAAUAGAUUAAUUUAUGUUUUCUCCCAAAACCAGUGAUGGCAAACCUAGAGUGACUGGAACAUCUAAAGUUCUACAAAAUAUUGCCCCAAAGUUGUGUGAAUUUUUUGCUGCCACAUAAAUUUAUCAAUUGUAUCUAAACAAGUUUGUCUGUAUUAUGGAUCCGGCCAUCCUUAAAAAAUUUAUUUUUUGCGGUAACGCGCCUCAUCAUUUUAGGUGUGAGUAGGUAGGUAGGCUUUUUUUUUUUUGAGAUAAAAUGUCAGAAAUAAAUAACAUUGAUGUAGAGGUAUUAACUAUGUCUCAAUUUUCACCUUACUUAUCUAACAAGAAAAUUAAAGCAUUCUAAAUAUAUUCAAUCUUUUAUUGCUCAAAUAUCAGAACACAUCAGUUCUUUUUAGGCAAACUUUUCUAAGAAAGUGA